GUGAAUGAAGAAGGCCUUCGGGUUGUAAAGUUCUUUCGUGGAGGACGAAAAGGUGGGUGCUAAUAUCGCCUGCUGUUGACGUGAAUCCAAGAAGAAGCACCGGCUAACUCCGUGCCAGCAGCCGCGGUAAUACGGGGGGUGCAAGCGUUAAUCGGAAUCACUGGGCGUAAAGGGUGCGUAGGCGGUGCAUUAGGUCUGUCGUGAAAUCCCCGGGCUCAACCUGGGAAUGGCGGUGGAAACCGGUGUACUAGAGUAUGGGAGAGGGUGGUGGAAUUCCAGGUGUAGCGGUGAAAUGCGUAGAGAUCUGGAGGAACAUCAGUGGCGAAGGCGGCCACCUGGCCCAAUACUGACGCUGAGGCACGAAAGCGUGGGGAGCAAACAGGAUUAGAUACCCUGGUAGUCCACGCCCUAAACGAUGAAUACUAGAUGUUUGGUGCCACGCGUACUGAGUGUCGUAGCUAACGCGAUAAGUAUUCCGCCUGGGAAGUACGGCCGCAAGGUUAAAACUCAAAUGAAUUGACGG
rnacentral:rRNA from 1 species